rnacentral:rRNA from 1 species
GACGUAGGGCGCGAGCGUUGUCCGGAUUUAUUGGGCGUAAAGAGCUCGUAGGCGGCUUGUCGCGUCAACUGUGAAAACCCGUGGCUCAACCAUGUGGUCUGCAGUCGAUACGGGCAGGCUAGAAUUCGGUAGGGGAGACUGGAAUUUACAGUGUAGCGGUGAAAUGCGUAGAUAUUGGGAAGAACACCGGUGGCGAAGGCGCUCUACUGGGCCAUAACUGACACUGAUGGACGAAAGCUAGGGGAGCGAAAGGG